AUUGAACGCUGGCGGCAGGCCUAACACAUGCAAGUCGAACGAGUGGCGGACGGGUGAGUAAUGUCUGGGAAACUGCCUGAUGGAGGGGGAUAAAUACGGGAAACGGUAGGUAAUAACGCAUACCAUCAGAUGUGCCCAGAUGGGAUUCGCUAGUAGGUGGGGUAACGGCGCACCUAGGCGACGAUCCCUAGCUGGUCUGAGAGGAUGACCAGCCACACUGGAACUUAGCCACGGUCCAGACUCCUACGGGAGGCAGCAGUGGGGAAUAUUGCACAAUGGGCGCAAGCCUGAUACAGCCAUGCCGCGUGUAUGAAGAAGGCCUUCGGGUGGUAAAGUUCUUUCAUCGGGGAAGCGUUACCCGCAGAAGAAGCCCCGGCUAACUCCGUGCCAGCAGCCGCGGUAAUAC
rnacentral:rRNA from 1 species